rnacentral:lncRNA from 1 species
GUCCUGACGGAGCAGAGGGGGUGAGUCUUCAACAUGGUCCUAAUCCCAGCACGGCUGUAAGCAGAAAGAGCAAUUUCUGUCUCUUCAAGGCUCUUGGGGCUGCGAUUUAAUCAGGUGGAUGUAGAAUAAAGCCCUGGGAUUUGAGGGUAGGAAGGCCUUACAUGCUCGCUGUGUACAAGCAUGGGGAAGGAGUGAGCAUAGUUGCCUGGGGACCCAAGGAACACACAUGCAGGCGUAAGGAAAAAGUGCAUGAAGGAAACAGUUAUUUUACAUACCCUCUCUGCAGUACCCCGAGUUAACAAUCAGGUAGCGGACUUGGAAGUGCUCAGUUCUUUCAUACAAACCACACAUUUACACAAAAUAUGUUGAAGCAUAAUACAGUUCAGUUACAAUUAGAAUAUAAAUGGGUUGUUCAACAAUAGGAACAGUCUCUUCUGCUCUGAUAUCAAGGAGCUUUUACCUACUGCCUGUCUGUGCCUUGGAAACGUGCUAGUAAAUGGCACUCUUGUAACAGGAAACUUAAACAUUUUGUUUUAGGAAAAUAUUUAAACACGUGAGCUCCAGAUCUAAUGACAAGUGCCAUUUUAAGUCAUAUCACAUUUGUACUUAAUCUGUGUUUAAGCUGAACUGUAUUCCAGGCUACAUUUAAGCACAUUUCCCAAAAUCAGGGCUAAUACCUGGUAUGGUCAAUUUAAAUCAAUGAUGUUCUUUUCAUCAGUAUUACUAGUCCCUGAAUUGUCCACAACUGCAGAGGUGAAUUAACUGUUAUUACAUCCAGAUAUUACAGCCAGUCAGGCUGUGAAGUAGGAUAAUAACCAUUAUAUCACAUUACUUUAAGUCCUAAGAGAAGCUAAGGGAAAAAAGCAUUACUAAAUAUUCAUUAAAUUUGGGAAAGCUCAAGUGAAAAAGUGCAUUGCAAUAUUAAGAAUGAACAUUCAGAUUGAAGAAGGAACCUUAUCUUUAUUGAUUCUGUCAUUGCAGUUGACUGGAGAGAAAGAACUAAUGUCUGAAAGGUUAUUUUCAGCGCAUGAUUGCUCUGAGACUGUUACAAAAAAACAGUCAUUAAUAAUAAUUUCUCACACAGUCUGCCAGGAUGGUUGUGUCCCCUUGCCUGUCCAGCUGGAUGUGCAGAAAGUCAGAAGUCAGGACAAUUCCAGAAGGACAGAGACAACAGUGGAAAGGGACUUGCAGCAUGACAGAAAGGCGCACCAGAGCGCUGCUGCUGCUUUUGCAACACCAGAAACUAGUGAUCAUGCCCAGGACAUAGCGAACAUUGCAUCCCACCUGCUAGACGUGGAACGAAAGCAGCACCAUGUCACUUCGACAGCCAGUUUCAACAAGGCCAACAGCCGUUUUCAAGCAUAAUAUCAGCUUCCAGAGAUGAUGUCCGUAUUAGCCUCUUCCAAAAUGGCUAGUUAUCUUCAAAAGGUACGUGCUAGUAACUAUUCACAUGCUGAAACAGAGAGACAGCUUGGUGGUGCCCGACGUGCUGCCCUGUGGGGCAUGGGGAGCCACCGGCCUCCCGGCA